AGAGUUUGAUCCUGGCUCAGAUUGAACGCUGGCGGCAGGCCUAACACAUGCAAGUCGAGCGGAUGAGUGGAGCUUGCUCCAUGAUUCAGCGGCGGACGGGUGAGUAAUGCCUAGGAAUCUGCCUGGUAGUGGGGGACAACGUUUCGAAAGGAACGCUAAUACCGCAUACGUCCUACGGGAGAAAGCAGGGGACCUUCGGGCCUUGCGCUAUCAGAUGAGCCUAGGUCGGAUUAGCUAGUUGGUGAGGUAAAGGCUCACCAAGGCGACGAUCCGUAACUGGUCUGAGAGGAUGAUCAGUCACACUGGAACUGAGACACGGUCCAGACUCCUACGGGAGGCAGCAGUGGGGAAUAUUGGACAAUGGGCGAAAGCCUGAUCCAGCCAUGCCGCGUGUGUGAAGAAGGUCUUCGGAUUGUAAAGCACUUUAAGUUGGGAGGAAGGGCAGUAAGUUAAUACCUUGCUGUUUUGACGUUACCGGCAGAAUAAGCACCGGCUAACUUCGUGCCAGCAGCCGCGGUAAUACGAAGGGUGCAAGCGUUAAUCGGAAUUACUGGGCGUAAAGCGCGCGUAUGUGGUUCGUUAAGUUGGAUGUGAAAGCCCCGGGCUCAACCUGGGAACUGCAUCCAAAACUGGCGAGCUAGAGUAUGGCAGAGGGUGGGUGGAACUC
rnacentral:rRNA from 1 species